UUCCAUUCUCCCUCCUAUUCCAUCGAUCCAAACGUAGCAUAACUCUCCCACUCAUUUAUGCGGCAUAGUAAGAAAAAAAGGAAAAACCAUGGCCGCUCAAUAUCGAUGGCAAGUCCCCCUAAUUCUCUAUCUUUCUUUAUUCCCGUAUUCUCUCUCUUCCGCCGCGCGCCUCUUCCCACCGCCGAUCCCGGCUUCUCCGUUUAUCCUGUCGUCGCCUUUCUCCUCUAUAUGAGGAGAAUCAAGGUAUGGGGUUUAGUUUUUAGGUUUGACCUAAGCUUCUUGUAUUGGUCAAUUUUCUUCUAUUAUAUUGUUUAGAUGCAUGUAAAUUGGCUUGUUGGUAUGCACAGAUUCCACUCCCUCCAGUGGAUGAGAAGAAAAAAGUAAUUAAAGAUGUUGACAAGUACAGGCGCUAUGCUAUCCCUUCCUAGAUUGAAUUCCAAUUUUGCUCGGUUACAUAAAGAAAUUGAAGUUAAGGAGGGAUUAUAAAGAUUAUAAUCAAGCAAAAGAGGUAUAUAUAAUUUUGUUAUUUUUUUAUGAUUGAAUUAAUUUAGUGGAGAUAGUGUUAAUAGUUAUGAACUGAGUUUAUGGGUGUGAUGGAUAAUUGGCAAUCAAUUAUAUAUAUGCUAUGAUAGUUGAUAAUGGAGAUAUUAUAUAAGUUGGGUUUUUUCAAAAACACGGUUAGUUUAUGUUAGUGUUAUAAAAUCAGUUAGAAUAUUGAAUUAAGGUAACUCUGUUUGGGUAAAGUUAGUAAUGUAGCUUGUUAGUUAUUUUGUAAAUAUAUGUUCAUGUAUGAUAUUAACUAUGAUUGUUGCUUGUGGACUGAAAUUAGAGCCAUGGAGAUUAGUGUGGUUUUGCGAAGUAAUAAGGUUGGCAAAAAUGCUUUGAAUAUGUAGCCCAAGCCUUAGAAAACAGUCCACAAGCUAGGUGCAUUAGUUAUGUUUGAUAAAAUGUCAUAGUAAACUAAUUUGGCUAAAAACACAUAAUUUGACGGAGCCGAAACCUAAUAUAGAUUCGUCCAACAUAAACUAAGUUAACUUAAGCUAAAAUAGUGCAAUAUAUAAUUGGACAAUAAGUGAAAUCCAUGACCAAAACUUUUAUGUUGAUGAUCAAGGACAGAAAACGCUGAAUACACAUUCCAGUAAGAUUGUGUUUAUAAAAUAGAUCAUUCAUGCCUUGUUAAAAUAGUGUUGAUACAAUAGACUGAAUGAAUUCAUGAGCAAAACUUUCAUAACCUUUAAUAUUUUCAUAUCUCUUGUUAAUUUUUGCUCAUUGUGCUAUAAAUCUCGGUCAUGAAUUUUUAAUUUCCAACUAUUGCACAGAGAUUAUUAAUGACUGAAUUCUAUAUGGUCUAGUAUUAUUAGUCUCUAUUGUUGUGCACAAAUCAAUAAUGAUUUUGGUUUUGAUUUGUAUUUGUUAUCAAUCAAUUUGUCUUACUUAUGCAAUUUAGCUGAUUGGCGUGGCACGGAGAUUUUUAAGAAUCAUUGAUUGGUAUUUCGCUAUCCAUCAAUUUUUCACAGUACAAUAGGAGAUAUUUGUCAAGUUCAAGAUGUGGAUACAAAUAGUUCAGGAGGAGUACCUGAUCAUAGUGCAAGUACACAUGGUAAAACAUGUAAACAAAUAAUAGUAUUCUUGCAACCUGCAUUUCCAAUAUUUAAUUCAGCAAGCAUGUCUAAAUGAUAAGUUAACAUUCAAAUGAUGGUAAAAAAAAGAAAUGCAUGUGAGAACAUUAAUAGACGAUGUCCCAUCUAGUGAGGCACGUUAAAAGGCUGAAAAUUGUAAUUUAAGCCGCUUAAAUCUGAGAAACUUGUCACGUGAUUGUAAUUUGAAAUUCACAAGUGGUAAACAUAUCACAUGCCAUUGACUGGCAAGAACAACCAUUUUGUUGCCUUGUAUAGAUGCCUCCUUAGUUUUAGUUUUUUCCUUUUAACUGGAGUUCAAAUACUGCCCUUUAGGUCCUUAAAUAAUUAAGUAUAAAAAUUUUACUCACUAGCCAAGCCAAAUAAAUCACCACACCAUUGAUCAAAUAUGCAUUAGACCUCUUCAAACCAGCAGUAUCAAGGAACCUUCAUGAGACCAGAGAAUAUAUUAAACUGCAAUUAGAUUCGAAUCAUGAAGAGAGAAUUACUCUCAAAACAUACCAUCUCAUAUUUAUCUCUGGAGUUGUCACCUCAGAGAUGAGAACCAUAAAUGUAUAGAGCUGUCCCUCCCCAGUAAACAAGGCAUAUGCUACUGCAAUCCCGGAAAGAGAGUGAUGAACAACCUGAAAGCAACACCGCAAUCACAGUCAUAGUGAUAGCCUAACAUGCCCAUAAUAUGGCUGCUAUGUGUUAAAUUGUAUGCAUAAACUGAUCCUUGUUCCUGAAAUAGACCAGAUCUCUUUCAAAUACCCACCCAGUCUAACAAGACACAAUGUUAGUGUUCUUUCUUCUUUUGGUACAGAAUUUUUGUUUUGGAGUAAAUGUGCUGUUAAUUUCAAAUUUAUAUUUUGUGAAUAGCCAUAAAAAAAUCUUGAAAUAUCCAACAGAAAAUGUUUAGUCUAUGGAGCUACUCCGAAUUUGAAUGUGACUAUAUUUAUAAUUUACUUGGUAUAAAUAGGUAUUCUUUUAGGGAACUGAUAUUUUUAUAUGUAUUUUUGAUAUUUUUAUAAAAUCUUUUCUCACAGAGCAUAUAGUGGGUCUCACCGGAAUCAUGCGAAAAUUUCAAAAACACAUGUUGAAAUAGUACUCCCUUUACUUUAAUACAAUAUAAUCAUGAAUGCGUAGUUGAAUUGAUUAUUUAUAAACAAGGAUAUAAAUAUAUAAACAUAAACAACAAAUUUUUAAGCUCUUGCAAUAUCAUCAGCUAGGCUAUGGAUGUACCCGAUGAGCAAAAGAAGAAGUAAUUAUAGGUAAGACAAAUAUACUAAACAAGAUUUGCAUGUAGUUAGAUGAAGUAGUACCAAGUACUUAUUAGGUUGUUCAUUUUUUCACAUGUUGAUUGUUGGAAUAAGUAGACACCAUAUUAUAUACUUAUGAAAUAGCACCCAACCCACGACAUCAACAGCCUCGUCUCAAGUCUCAAGUUCAUGUUCAAGUUCAAGUUCUUCAUUGAUUAAUCUCUAGCAUUAAUUAUCCCAUGCGAGCAUGUACCCAUUUUUAUCCUACAUAUAAUAUAUUACUUCAUUUAAAUAAUUUCUCAAUUAUGUAAAUUUGCUGAUGGAAAUUUGAUGACAAAUUUGGGAAUGUUGGGCUAUUUUACACAAAUAUCAAUAAAGAAACAAUAACUAUUUUGUAGGAAAAAAUUGGAUAAAUGAGACUUUUUUUUAAAAGAAAAAACAAAUACAUUUAGCCCAUCUCUCUCUCACCCUCUCUCGCUUUGUUUACUUGAGAGAAAUUGGUUCCUUGAUUUCUUGAAUUCAAAUCUCCUGGUCAGCACCCAUGAGAAUUCUUCUGAAUGCACCAACUCAAGUCCCUAUUAAGGUAUAAAAUUAUUAAUAUUGACUCCUAAACUCAUGAAAAUGACAAAGUAUGUAAACUUCUGAUUGUGCAUAUGUUUUGAUAUUUUAGUUUUGACAUUCAUUUCUUAUACCUAGUCGAUGUAAAGUAGUUACUAACAAAUUAUUGAGCUCCUGUUGUGGGUUCAUAGAAACUUCCGUAGUAACUUAUAACAAUAUUUCUUUUCUCUUAAUCUUAGUUUUUGCAACUCAAGGUAGAUGGUAAUGAUAUUGGUAAGAACAAGUGCUUUAUGCCCCCACACGCCUGUACCCUUCUAGAGUUGUGAGUUUUUCGUCGUCAACUGUGUAUCAAAUUGCAUGUUGUUUGUCCAAAUUUAGUAAUUUUGAGUUUGUCAAAAUAAAAACCAAGGACUGUGUAAAUAGGCAUACAGAACUGUGUGCCAAGUGUAAUAGAAGAUUUAGUUUUUUUUCACAUAACAGUUACUUCAAAGUUGGACAUAAAGAGUAGGUGUAUCUUUGUCAUAGUUGUUGUAAUCUUAUACAUGCACAUUGCACAUGGUACCAUCUUGUGUAUGUUUGUCAAACUAGUAUGUACUUCAUGUUAUCUUGUUUAAGGCAUUUUAUUUAGUCAGUUGAAGGACUCUGGAAUCUUUUUAUAUGCUUAACCAUUUAAUAAAUAUUGUGGGUAGUCUGUUGGUUUAAUAAUAUUAGUACCAUGUAACAACUCUAUUGUCUUUGUAUAUUGAUUUUGGCAUUAAGUGCCUCUGGUGACCUAUUUGCUUUAUUUUCCUGACUUGCUAUUAUUUUUAAAUGUGCAGGAAGACUGCUUUUACGACCUGCCUUACAAUACUGGGUAUUAAAUUUCUGUGCUACGUUUACGGAAGGCAAAUGACGAAAUUAUGAAGUGUACUCUCUCUAUAUAUGUAGAUAUAUACUUUGAUUGAAGAACUGUGGUAGUUUUAGCUGGUUAAUUGUAAAGAUAAUGAAUGAUUAUGUAGUGGAUGAUUUUAUUAAGUUAAUAAUAUUUUACUUUUUUUGUAUUUUUGUCAUUAUUUGCUAUGGGGACAUUGAGCCAAUCAGGUACAUAAAAAGAAUGUCAAAUUUUGAUUUGGCAACAAUAUAAUUCGUUAUCAAAGUAUUGA
rnacentral:lncRNA from 1 species